GCCAAACCCCCUGCAUGUACUUGCAUUCAGUAACUACCUUACUAACUCUUAAUAAGCAUUAAAUUAGGGGUAUUACCACAUGCACGGAUAAUUUGAUGACUCUUACAGACUCACUUCCCCCUGAAAUUAAAAAUAAAUAAAAAAUCUCCAUAUAUACAUCCUCUCUGAUUACCACACAAGCCACACUUGCUGCAUUUGAGCCUAAGGACUACAUCAAGUCAAAACAAUGCCACGCACACCAUCUCAUGUGUGGACACAUUUCACCACAGCCAAUGUGGAAGGAAAGGUUGUGUACAGUUGCAAAUACUGUGCAAAAACCUAUGUUAAGAAAGCCAAGUGCCCAAAGUUUCCCCAGGGCUCAAAAAAAGCAGCCCCAGCCAAGAGGUUCAUCUGCUUCCAUUCAGAGUGAAAAUGAUUCAGAUUCAGACACCUUCUCGUCAGCUCCUAGUCACUCUGGAAUCAGAGGAUUUUUUGACUCAAUGGAUGAUCGUAGCCAGAGAAAUGUUGAGUGUUUUGCUCGAGCAAUGUAUGCUAUUGGCUCCCCCCUGAUGCUCACAGCCAAUGUCUACUGGAAGAGAUUUCUGAAUGUUCUUCGCCCCGCAUACACACCUCCCACCAGACAUGCUUUAUCUACUCACUUGCUGGAUACUGAGUUCAACAGAGUGCAAGCAAAAGUCAAGCAAACCACUGACAAAGCAGAUUGCAUUUCGGUCAUCUAUGAUGGGUGGUCGAAUGUCCGGGGGCAAGGAAUUAUCAAUUACAUCGUCUUGACUAUUAUGUUCAUUGUUUUGUGUUACUCAAUGAAAGAAUCAAUUAAAUCAGUCAAGACGUCAUGUCUGUUUAUGACCAAACAAAAUGUUUAUUUAUGUUUGUAUAAUGACAUAGUUGAUAUAAAUUUUCCUAUAUUUCCAAAUAAUUCCCAUAAAUUCCUGUAAAUUCCCAUAAAGUUUACAAUUUGGAAUAUUUCUAAAAUAUCCCAGAUUAAGUUCCCUGUGGACAGU